rnacentral:rRNA from 1 species
GAGUUUGAUCCUGGCUCAGAUUGAACGCUGGCGGCAUGCCUUACACAUGCAAGUCGAACGGCAGCACGGGAGCUUGCUCCUGGUGGCGAGUGGCGAACGGGUGAGUAAUGCAUCGGAACGUAUCCUGGAGUGGGGGAUAACGUAGCGAAAGUUACGCUAAUACCGCAUAUUCUGUGAGCAGGAAAGCGGGGGACCUUCGGGCCUCGCGCUCUUGGAGCGGCCGAUGUCGGAUUAGCUAGUUGGUGAGGUAAAGGCUCACCAAGGCGACGAUCCGUAGCAGGUCUGAGAGGAUGAUCUGCCACACUGGAACUGAGACACGGUCCAGACUCCUACGGGAGGCAGCAGUGGGAAUUUUGGACAAGUGGGGCAACCCUGAUCCAGCCAUGCCGCGUGAGUG